AAAUUAAUGCGUGUAUUGUGAAAUUUAUCCGAGUUGGAUCGGCAAGAAAGCCAGAAAAGAUCGAGUGAUCGGGAGUCACGUAAAACCGUGAUUUAUAGUCGUUUGCGCAUUCAAGAAAGUGUUCUUCGAGUUGCAUGCUGCAUGUCAUUGACCUCGUCGAAACUUCUUGAGCGCCGAACGUUCACCGAUCACGAAAUGAAACAUCCGAUAAUAAGUGGAUCUGCGUAAACUCCAACUAGAACACCAUAAAUUUACCGUCUACCGAUAAGUGAACGAAGCAUUUAACAACGA